GUCAACUACCCCGCCCUCAAGGGCGGAGCUUGUCAAAGCGAGGUUGACCAGACUAAGCCGCUAGUCAGAGUGGCUACGCCACCCCGAGGUCGUUAAAACUUACCAGCAGAUGCUUCCUGAGUCUGCUGCUCUAAAAGGCUUAAAUCAUGCUGGGGAAAGGUAAAGCCCCGAAGGUUUUAGUCGUGGCUAGCCACAGCCGCGGGGUGGCCUUGUUGAAGGGAAAUGGC
rfam:Thioploca ingrica DNA, complete genome.